rnacentral:rRNA from 1 species
UGCGGAAUUUUAGAUAAUGGAGGGAACUCUGAUCUAGCGACGCCGCGUGUAGGAAGAAGGUCUUCGGAUUGUAAACUGCUGUGGUAAGGGAAAAAUGCUAUGUAGAGUGGAAAGCUACAUAGAGGGAUGGUACCUUACUAGAAAGCCCCGGCUAACUACGUGCCAGCAGCCGCGGUAAUACAUAGGGGGCGAGCGUUACCCGGAAUCACUGGGCGGAAAGGGAGCGUAGGUGGCCUAACAUGUCAACUGUGAACACCCGGAGCUCAACUCCGGACUUGCAGUUGAAACUGGUAGGCUUGAGGACGGUAGAUGAAGACGGAACUGCCAGUGUAGGGGUAAAAUCCUUAGAUAUUGGCAGGAACGCCGGUGACGAAGGUGGUUUUCUGGGCCGGUUCUGACACUGAUGCUCGAAAGCCAGGGGAGCGAACGG